rnacentral:rRNA from 1 species
UACGAAGGGGGGCUAGCGUUGCUCGGAAUCACUGGGCGUAAAGCGCGCGUAGGCGGCUUUGUAAGUUAGAGGUGAAAGCCCGGAGCUCAACUCCGGAAUAGCCUUUAAGACUGCAUCGCUAGAACGUUGGAGAGGUAAGUGGAAUUCCGAGUGUAGAGGUGAAAUUCGUAGAUAUUCGGAAGAACACCAGUGGCGAAGGCGACUUACUGGACAACUGUUGACGCUGAGGUGCGAAAAGCGUGGGGAGCAAACAGG